AUACGUAGGUGGCAAGCGUUGUCCGGAAUUAUUGGGCGUAAAGCGCGCGCAGGCGGUCCUUUAAGUCUGAUGUGAAAGCCCACGGCUCAACCGUGGAGGGUCAUUGGAAACUGGGGGACUUGAGUGCAGAAGAGGAAAGUGGAAUUCCAAGUGUAGCGGUGAAAUGCGUAGAGAUUUGGAGGAACACCAGUGGCGAAGGCGACUUUCUGGUCUGUAACUGACGCUGAGGCGCGAAAGCGUGGGGAGCAAACAGGAUUAGAUACCCUGGUAGCCCACGCCGUAAACGAUGAUUGCUAAGUGUUAGGGGGUUUCCGCCCCUUAGUGCUGCAGCUAACGCAUUAAGCACUCCGCCUGGGGAGUACGGUCGCAAGACUGAAACUCAAAUGAAUUGACGGGG
rnacentral:rRNA from 1 species